GGGUUGUGAGGUUAAGCGACUAAGCGUACACGGUGGAUGCCCUGGCAGUCAGAGGCGAUGAAGGGCGUGCUAAUCUGCGAUAAGCGCCGGUAAGGUGAUAUGAACCGUUAUAACCGGCGAUACCCGAAUGGGGAAACCCAGUGUGACUCGUCACACUAUCAUUAACUGAAUCCAUAGGUUAAUGAGGCGAACCGGGGGAACUGAAACAUCUAAGUACCCCGAGGAAAAGAAAUCAACCGAGAUUCCCCCAGUAGCGGCGAGCGAACGGGGAGGAGCCCAGAGCCUGAAUCAGCAUGUGUGUUAGUGGAAGCGUCUGGAAAGGCGCGCGAUACAGGGUGACAGCCCCGUACACAAAAGCGCAUGUGCUGUGAGCUCGAUGAGUAGGGCGGGACACGUGGUAUCCUGUCUGAAUAUGGGGGGACCAUCCUCCAAGGCUAAAUACUCCUGACUGACCGAUAGUGAACCAGUACCGUGAGGGAAAGGCGAAAAGAACCCCGGCGAGGGGAGUGAAAAAGAACCUGAAACCGUGUACGUACAAGCAGUGGGAGCACAGGUUUACCUGUGUGACUGCGUACCUUUUGUAUAAUGGGUCAGCGACUUAUAUUCUGUAGCAAGGUUAACCGAAUAGGGGAGCCGGAGGGAAACCGAGUCUUAAUUGGGCGUUAAGUUGCAGGGUAUAGACCCGAAACCCGGUGAUCUAGCCAUGGGCAGGUUGAAGGUUGGGUAACACUAACUGGAGGACCGAACCGACUAAUGUUGAAAAAUUAGCGGAUGACCUGUGGCUGGGGGUGAAAGGCCAAUCAAACCGGGAGAUAGCUGGUUCUCCCCGAAAGCUAUUUAGGUAGCGCCUCGUGAAUUCAUCUCCGGGGGUAGAGCACUGUUUCGGCUAGGGGGCCAUCCCGGCUUACCAACCCGAUGCAAACUGCGAAUACCGGAGAAUGUUAUCACGGGAGACACACGGCGGGUGCUAACGUCCGUCGUGAAGAGGGAAACAACCCAGACCGCCAGCUAAGGUCCCAAAGUCAUGGUUAAGUGGGAAACGAUGUGGGAAGGCCCAGACAGCCAGGAUGUUGGCUUAGAAGCAGCCAUCAUUUAAAGAAAGCGUAAUAGCUCACUGGUCGAGUCGGCCUGCGCGGAAGAUGUAACGGGGCUAAACCAUGCACCGAAGCUGCGGCAGCGAACGUAUCACUUAAAGCGAUUCAGCGGGUUACGAUUGACGGAGCGAAGCGACGUCAAAGCGUAUACAAAGUCGAGUCGGUUUAAGGAUACGUUCGUUGGGUAGGGGAGCGUUCUGUAAGCCUGCGAAGGUGGCCUGUGAGGGUUGCUGGAGGUAUCAGAAGUGCGAAUGCUGACAUAAGUAACGAUAAAGCGGGUGAAAAGCCCGCUCGCCGGAAGACCAAGGGUUCCUGUCCAACGUUAAUCGGGGCAGGGUGAGUCGACCCCUAAGGCGAGGCCGAAAGGCGUAGUCGAUGGGAAACGGGUUAAUAUUCCCGUACUUGGUGUUACUGCGAAGGGGGGACGGAGAAGGCUAUGUUGGCCGGGCGACGGUUGUCCCGGUUUAAGCGUGUAGGUGUGUGUUCCAGGUAAAUCCGGUUCACUUUAACACUGAGGCGUGAUGACGAGGCACUACGGUGCUGAAGCAACAAAUGCCCUGCUUCCAGGAAAAGCCUCUAAGCAUCAGGUAACAUCAAAUCGUACCCCAAACCGACACAGGUGGUCAGGUAGAGAAUACCAAGGCGCUUGAGAGAACUCGGGUGAAGGAACUAGGCAAAAUGGUGCCGUAACUUCGGGAGAAGGCACGCUGACACGUAGGUGAAGUGAUUUACUCAUGGAGCUGAAGUCAGUCGAAGAUACCAGCUGGCUGCAACUGUUUAUUAAAAACACAGCACUGUGCAAACACGAAAGUGGACGUAUACGGUGUGACGCCUGCCCGGUGCCGGAAGGUUAAUUGAUGGGGUCAGCGCAAGCGAAGCUCCUGAUCGAAGCCCCGGUAAACGGCGGCCGUAACUAUAACGGUCCUAAGGUAGCGAAAUUCCUUGUCGGGUAAGUUCCGACCUGCACGAAUGGCGUAAUGAUGGCCAGGCUGUCUCCACCCGAGACUCAGUGAAAUUGAACUCGCUGUGAAGAUGCAGUGUACCCGCGGCAAGACGGAAAGACCCCGUGAACCUUUACUAUAGCUUGACACUGAACAUUGAGCCUUGAUGUGUAGGAUAGGUGGGAGGCUUUGAAGUGUGGACGCCAGUCUGCAUGGAGCCGACCUUGAAAUACCACCCUUUAAUGUUUGAUGUUCUAACGUGGACCCGUAAUCCGGGUUGCGGACAGUGUCUGGUGGGUAGUUUGACUGGGGCGGUCUCCUCCUAAAGAGUAACGGAGGAGCACGAAGGUUGGCUAAUCCUGGUCGGACAUCAGGAGGUUAGUGCAAUGGCAUAAGCCAGCUUGACUGCGAGCGUGACGGCGCGAGCAGGUGCGAAAGCAGGUCAUAGUGAUCCGGUGGUUCUGAAUGGAAGGGCCAUCGCUCAACGGAUAAAAGGUACUCCGGGGAUAACAGGCUGAUACCGCCCAAGAGUUCAUAUCGACGGCGGUGUUUGGCACCUCGAUGUCGGCUCAUCACAUCCUGGGGCUGAAGUAGGUCCCAAGGGUAUGGCUGUUCGCCAUUUAAAGUGGUACGCGAGCUGGGUUUAGAACGUCGUGAGACAGUUCGGUCCCUAUCUGCCGUGGGCGCUGGAGAACUGAGGGGGGCUGCUCCUAGUACGAGAGGACCGGAGUGGACGCAUCACUGGUGUUCGGGUUGUCAUGCCAAUGGCACUGCCCGGUAGCUAAAUGCGGAAGAGAUAAGUGCUGAAAGCAUCUAAGCACGAAACUUGCCCCGAGAUGAGUUCUCCCUGAGACUUAGAGUCUCCUGAAGGAACGUUGAAGACGACGACGUUGAUAGGCCGGGUGUGUAAGCGCAGCGAUGCGUUGAGCUAACCGGUACUAAUGAACCGUGAGGCUUAACCUUACAACGCCGAAG
rnacentral:rRNA from 1 species